CUGCAGUCUGGAAAUCAAAACCAAAAAUUUGCAAACAAUUUUAACCUUUACUGAAUCCCAUAGAGAACUAAAGAGAGGUCCCAUUCUUAAUACACAGCAAACAUUGAAAUGUGCUUUUCUCAUUUUUCUUUCUCUCUCUGUCUUUAUCUAUAGCUACAUCUCUCUCUCUGUCUCUCUCUUAACUAUCUCUGAGUAGCUCCUUUCUUGUUUCUUCCUGAAAAGCUCCAAAACCCUUCAAACCUAGCCUGCUACUAUCCCCAAACCCAAGGAUCUUUUAUUUCCCCUUCUCUUUCGUUGUUUCAUGAUCUACUCUGGACUUUUUCUGAUAUAAAUCAAUCCCAUACUCAUCUGUACCUCUCAGAUUUUCCCCGAAUUCAUACCUCUUUCAGCACCGCAAAAGACUGAGAACUGAGUAGAUUCACAGACGUGUCUUUGGAAAGGAGGGAGGGUAUUGAAGGAGAAUGCCUUUACUUCAAAUUUAAUAUUUUUUUUCUUCUCUCACUGCCAAAAAUCGCUUAAAUUUCUUUCACACCCAUUCUCUUCCCUCCAUUCCUGCUGCAAUGAUUAUAUCCCAGUGUCAAAAACUGUGAAGGGCCUGAGAUUGUUGCCUAAUUAUAAGCAAACAAUCAAGCCUGCCACAGUUUCAUGGAUGCUGAUAGAAGAUACAAGUCUUAAGGGUCAAAGACAAAGGGUGAUUUAUUGCUCACAGCAAUAGCAGUAGCCAGAGUGUCAGCAGAUAGUGCAAAGAGAACCAGAAGGCACCUGCACGCACAGUGAGUUGCAUUACAGGAGAGGAACCCUGAGCUUAGGGAACCCAAAUUUUUUAUAAUGAGCAGUAAGCGUGCCUGCUCUUUGCUCUGGGAAGGUCAGGGGAGAUACUAUCUCUAUCUUCUUCUAGCUGUUAGCAAAACUUCCUUUGUUCUGGAGGGAGACAUCAUCUCUUUCAAGGCUGUUGGAUGUACAAAGGUCCUCAAAGAGAUAGUCUGGAACAGAGGGCAGUGAGUGUCUCACUCACAAGACAUGCAGAAACAUAGGAGGCCCAGGGAGAAUUGUCUCCUUUCACCUCCUCUGGACAAUCAUCAUUUGUUGUUGGAAUAUUACAAUAUCUGCCCAUUGGCCAAGCUGUUCCUAGUCUUGCUUUCUUCCAACCCAUCCUACCUCUGCUGCAAGGGUGAUCUUUUGUAAUGCAGAUAGGGUCAUGCAACCUUCCCUUGCUUAGAAUAAUUUAAUGGCUGCUCAUUUCCCAUAGGAUGAUUUCCUUAGUGUGCCACAUAAAAUAUUUUUUAGUUCAGUUUUGCCUGCCUUUUCAGCCAUCUCUCCCGUUCUAUGCUGAAAAUGUUUGGCGUUUAAAAAGUGAGUAUAAUCUUGUACUUAAUAUGAUAAUCAUUUUUGGAACUACAUCUACAUGGAAAGCAAUUUACAGGUUAAUGGGCCUGAGACAGCCUUCAUGAACUACCUUACAAACUUGUAAACUAUUCUUGAUGAAGUGCAUCUCAAAUUCUAUUUGUACUGUUUGUGUGUGUGUAUGUGUGUGUGUCUGUAUGUGUUAAUGACAGACAAAGGAAAUUUAAAAAGAGAGAAUUCUCCUGUAAGCCCAACAAAUGGAAGUAAAUGUUCUAUUUAUUUAUAUUUUUCUGCAAGGAUCUAGGCCUUGCAUAGAUCAAUUGCAGUUGAACUUGUCUCCUGUCUGGUUCUCACAAUGACCUCUUGCUCUGAUUUGCAACUGGGGUUUAAAAUCCCCUCUCUCAAGUUCGCACAACUGUCCCUUCAGGGGCUUUGCAUUUUCUCCCAGUCUGAGCAUUUUUAGACAAAUGUCAGUUUUUUGUCAUUAGCCUUGUGAGAAUUUCUGGAAAAAAAUAAACAGUUUGGAGAAGGAAACCCACUCUGGGAGUGAAGAAUAUGAGUCAGUGCCAUGUUGGGAGGAGGGGUGCGGAGACAAUGAGCUUUUGGCUAAUAUCUUGGGGCUCUUUCAUUGAGAUUAGAAGCUGGGAGUGGCUUUGGCGCCCUGCUUUCUGGUUUCUACCCCAGGAAUAGAAGUCCAUGGCAGGAAAGGAAUGGUAGAGCAAAGUUUAUGAGGACUAUUUAUGAUAUAUUGAAAUGGAAAGAUGCUUUUUAUAAUGACUUAAAAUUUGUCGAAUUUGUGAGGGAUUGCAGCAUUUCAUAACUGUUGCCCCAAGAGAAACCCAGGCCUCCUCAAAUCUGGGCCUAACUACCCUGCCUCCUUACUUCCCACUGAGCCCAUCAAGGAUUUGUCUUCCUGCUACUUGCUGACUGAGUGGCCUUGGGUGAGUUACUGCCUGAGUCUUGGCUUUCUAUCCAUUAAACAGGAGUAACGACACAAUGAGAUUGUUGUGAAGACUGGAAUAAAAUAAACAGUGUUAGAUGGAAGAGUAUUUUAAGCUAUAAAAUGCUAUAAAAAACUAGAAAUUUGUCUUCUUUGGUUCCUGAAAGCCAAGCUUUCCCUCUUACACUGCUUUGCUUUGACCUCAGGCUCUAUCAGCUUUAUAUACACAGAGCCAAACAACUGUGGUUGCAAAUGGAAAUAUUUAAAAAUACGGUUAAAAUAAAAGUUUUGCUAUUUUUCAAAACUAUAGACAAAUAGUUAAAAAAAAAACAUAAACAAACCCAAACUAUGGAUAGUACUAAUUCUAGUCUUUGCUGUGGAAUGAUGUGAACUUGGGUCAGUCAUUGCCAAGACUUGCCUCUUCACCACCCCUUUCUAGACUAUGAAGACCUAAAGGACACCAUGGACUUGCCACUGGUGAGUGGGUAGAUGAGUAGUAAAUGUUUGUUUAAAAAAGUGAGUGGGCCUUGGUUUCUUCACCUUUAAAGGAUGAGAGUGGGACUGUAUCAGGGUUCUUCUAAGUAAGGCAGGUGACUCAGGGGAUUUUGAUAGGAAUUUCGUGGGCCACAUCUAGCAUUUGGUAAUGCAACAGAAGGGAAUAGAGUAAAAACUUAGAGUAGACUACACAUAGUAAGGUAGAUAUUUCUUUGUGAAACUUUUGUUUCAGUUGUGUGUGGGUGCUAGGUCUAGGUGUCAAGUAUGUUUCUUAUGGUUCAUUGUGGCUAAAAAAUGCGUAGAAAACACUGGGCUAGUCCUCCCGUCUCUAAUAUCACAUUGCUGCUACUACCCCCCUCACCCCCCAUAACCCCUUCCAUUUGAUUAAUACUUUACAUUCUACAAAGAAUGUUUACACCCACUCCUUCAUAUGGUCCUCAUCAGAACCUGGGGUAGGGAGGGACAUGCUAUUACUCUUCUCCUUCUUGUAGAGGAGGAGAGACUUGUAUCCUCAAAUCUCCCUUCUAGGAGGAACUGUCUUUGUUUCAAGAGACAUUUAAAUGAGGCCUGGGAAAGAAGGCUGGACCACAUGAUCUCAGGAAGAAAGGAGCAGGUCCCUGUCUCCUAUGAGUAGGAGAUAUUGAAGAGGGGGCUUGUGUGUGGAGAGAGGCCAGUGAGGUUGCAUGGGGGAGGGGAAACAAAGAAAGAACCCUUGGAGAAUGUGGGCUGUUUAGUGGAGUGCUGCUGUGCAUUGCAUGAUCUGACCUUCUUCCCAGGAUUCUCCUAAUCUUCAGAUAUGAUUACUUAAAAGUCAUGAACUUCUUGCUGUGAUCGGAUUUCUUGUGGAAUCUGGCACAGAAGCUGAUUUCUGCAUCAAGUUGUAGCCAAAGUCAAAGCAGAAACAGCAUGCGUGGAUGAAGGAACAUCUGGGUUACAUAUAGAUGAUGAGACUGAGGGUCAGAGAGGCUUUACGACAGCUCAUCAAAAAGAGGCUAAGUGAUUGGCUGGAGGCUCUCAGUAACCUUGGAAUUAGAUGAGGUGGAAGGAUGAGACCACCCAAUUCAGUUCCUUUUUUUUUUAAAUUGAUAUGGCUUUAUGUGUUCUGGCCGUGAUACAGUGUUAUCUUGAGACUUAAAUGUGGUAUCAGCAUACAAGUGAUCUGAAAAUGGUCAACAAGAAAGCCAAAGGCUACUUCAGACAGAGAACAUGCCUCUUCUAGUUGAUGUAUGUGCAGAGGUGCAGAAUUUUCUGCGGGUGCUGAAAAUCGGGGGCCCAUGUUAUGCUUCCCACUACUACCCCUCAGGGACAAACAGAGAGAAGUCAUUCUCAGGGACGCCUGCGGCAGGCACUUUACAGGGUGUCUUUAGGAAGACGAUGGGCGUCCCGAAUUUUGGCAUUACAGGGAGCUGCACUAUAGCUAUUAGGAAAGCGAUAGUGAGAACCGUAAAGGUACAGCUGAAAAAACAAGCAAUUGCAGAUAGAGAGACUGAGGCUUCUUAUCAAUAAGGCAUUUCAUUCCCAGAGUGAAGAAAUGUCUGUUCCUGUGCAGAUUGGGUUAAACUCAGAUUGUCGUGGGACCGUGAGAGGACUACACACUGCAUUUUUGCAGUACUAGCAUGGCAAAAAUGGUACAGGCAGUGAUCAGGGUCUGAUCACAGCGAUAAAGCUCAUGCCAACCCUCCUCUGUCCUGCCGUGAUUCUCAGCCUGGGGUAGGGGUAAGCGUCAGAGCCUCCAAGGAGACUUUCUUAAAGGACUUCGGUCCCCUACCCCGCCCCAGCAGAUUUUAAUGAAUUUUCCCCUGUGACAUCCUCUUUCUCCCUUUAUCUUAACCAGCUGACAAUUACUACAUGCAAAAUAGAUAUUACUGACGAGCAUGUUUUGUUUGUCUGAGAAAGUCUGAGAACUCGUGGACAGGGUCUGGAAGGCCCACAUCAGUUUAUGUCACAUGUGUAGAGAUAUGCAUGGAGUUUUUUUCCCUGUGGUUUGGAUUCUGUUAUUCUCAAUGUAUUCUCUAAUGCUCUCAGGUAUAAAGAUCUUAACUGAACAUUGGGAUUAAUUUUCUUGCCUCCAGGGUGGGCAAGCCAGGUAAGCAGCCUCUGCCCGUGCCAGAGUCACACCUGAGCAAGGCUUACUCUUGUCGAGGUGCUCCACCGAUUACAAAAACGCCUUUGUAAACCACAAACUGCUCUUCAAGGUCUACCUUAUAAAAAUACUAAAGGAAUCCUUCAUGCUGACACAAAGGACACCUGAGAGUAACUCAAAUAUGCAUAAGAAAUACAGAACAUCAGUAAAGGUAACUACACAGUCUCAGCUGAUCUUGAAUGGAAACCACAGCCUGAUUCUUCAAGGAUGCGUGUCCUCUAGACAAAGAAGUGGGGAACGAGGAAUGUGGUGCUCUUGGAGGAAGCACAAUACAUGAACAAUGGCAGGACUUGCAGUAACCUGGCCCAUUUUGUGCUGAGACAAAGAGGGAAUCGCAUUAAUCGUCUGAAGGCACCUCGCUGAGUGCCUAGUAUGUAUAAUGUGCUUCAGAACCAUUGGUUUACUUCUUUCUUACUUCCUUCCAUCUAGGAAAAAGAUAAAUUUGUCAAUGACCAGGGCUAACAUCGAUCAUGACAAAGUUUAUUUAUCUUUAUGUUGCAUUUUCAAUUUAAUUUGAUAGUUGAGAUAUAGUUAUUUCAUGAAAAAAAAUCAUCCCAAUGUUGUCUCCUGGGCCCUCAGAUGGUGUAUAAUAAAUUAAACAUUCACGUAAGCCUUGUUGACACAAAGGGGAAGUUUCUGACUCAAAAGACCCCAAACUGAGAAAAUGAGACUUAAGAUGAACGGAGUGUCUCCCUGCCUGUUAUCACAGGCAGGGUCUCCUGUGGCUAUUUAUUGCCGAGGGGUGAAAACAGCCAUACUUCAGACUGCUCACAAUUGUCCACCUGCCGGGAAGCCCAUCCAUAAUGCACAUAUUUCAGAUGUUUCCUGCGUAGAACAUUUAUCUUUUUAAUACUUGACCUACAGCACACAUGUGUGAUGACUCUCAUCUAUAACGUGUUCCAGCUUCACGGACUUUUCUUUGCUCCAGUGGAAACUAUUUUAAUAGACUUUCUUUUAGACUCAUGAAAGCCCUCAGAGUUUUAAAGCAAGUCCCUCAAGUGUCUGUCCCCUUAAAUUUUCCGUCCGACAGGAAAUUGGUUUUGCACAUCUUCCAGUUUGCCCAACUUUGGCUGGAUACAUAUUUAUCUGUAACCUUCCAGGUGUGAGCCCUUUGCCCUGGGAGACAGGUGAGAGGAGUGGGAAGGACAUAGUAUUUGUAUUUCACAGAUCAGGAUUAGAACUCAGGUUUCAAAGCACUUGCGGUUGACGCUAUCUAGCCUCAGGUAUCAAAUAGGAUGUCAAUCUUAAUCCUAAUACUGAUAAUGCUAAAACCAAUACUAAGCCACUACCAAGGCUAAAACUUGUACUAAUACUGAUGCCAAUUCUAAUAGUGACAGCAAUUGCAAUGGCAAUACCUAUUCUAGUACUGUGUAGUCAUCAGGGUUCUCCAGAGAAGCAGGACCAAUAGAAUGUUUAUAUACAGAGAAAAUGAUUUAUUUUAAGCAAUCAGCUCAUGCAAUUAUGGACACUGGAAAGUCCAGAAUAUGCAGGUGGGCCGGCAGGCUGGAGUCCCAGGGAGGGGCCGAGGCUGCUGUCCAAGUCCUAAGGCAGUCCACUGGCAGAAUUUCCUCUUGCUCAGGAAAGGUCAGACUUUGUUCUAGUCAGGCCUUCAGCUGAUUGGACACGGCCCACCACAUUAUGAGGGGCAAUCUGCUUUACUCAAAGUCUACUGAUUUAAAUGUUAAUCUCAUCGAAAAACACCCUCCCACAAACGUCCAGAAUUUAACCAAAUAUCUGGGCACCAUGGCCCAGCCAAGUUAACAUAUAAAAUUAACCAUCACACACUGGUACUGAUACUAAUAUUAAAAUGUACUAAUAUUGUAUCAGUCAGGGUUCCACCAGAGAAACAUAACCAGUAGGAUAUGAAUAUAUAUAUAUAUAUAUAGAGAGAGAGAGAGAGAGAGAUCUAUUGUAAAGAAUUGGCUUAUACCAUUAUAGAGGUUGGCUAGCCAAGUCUGAAGUCCCCACGGCAGGCUGUCAGGGAAGACACGCUGGAACUCUCAGCAGAAGUUGAUGUUGUAUUCCACAGGUGGAAUCUUGUUCUUCUGGGAAAUCUCAGUUCUGCCUUUAAGAUUUUACAACUGACUGAAUCGGGCCCACCCGGAUUAUUUAGGAUAAUCCUUGUUACAUAAAGGCAACUAAUUAUGGACUUUAAUCAUAUCUACAAAAUACCUUCACAGCAACACCUAGCUCUAUUUGAUUGCCUAUUUGCAUACUAUAGCCUAGCCAAGCUGACACAUAAAACUGACCAUCACAAACAUAUAAAGCAAUAAGCACACAGCCUGGCACAUAUAUGUGUCCAGUCAUUUCUAGCUAGGGUAGUGAGAGGUUCAAAGGCAGACACUAUAUCAAUCCUGAUAUUAAGAAGUGUGAGAUACAGUAGAAAAGAUAUGGUUAGACUCAAGCAUUUCUCUGACAAGGUAAUAAGCCAACAGCUUACAUUUACUGACCCAUUAGAAUGUACCAGUCCAUGUUAAGAGUUCCACAUGCAUUUUUUACAUUUCAUUUUCAUACAACUCUAUGAGAUAAAUAUUAUUAUUUUGUGUUUUGCAGCAGAGAAGACCAAGUCUCCGGAAGUUUAAGUUAAUGCCUACAAUUACACAGCUAACAAGUUCCAGAGUAAGGAUGCUCACCUAGGAUGAGCCAACAGUCUUGGCCAAGAUAGAAAGAACAAAUUUGGUGGAGGGGAAGCAGAGGAAGUGUCCGGUAGAGUCAGAGAUGGGGAGCACCAUAGUGGAGGAGGCACUGGGCAGACCUGUGGUAGGAGGAGAACUCGGGCAGGUAGAACUGAGAAUGGAGGGUUGAGAAAGAACAGGGUAUUCUACAAGGAGGCGCAAAGAUCUGGAGAGACGACACCUAUGUGGGGCACAGGGGGCUCCAUUGGCAGUGCCCUCCAGCCAGUGGGUGUGAGAGAGGAGACAGGAUGCAUAGACACUACAAACCACUCAAGUCUAUCAAACUCAUGACAGUUUUGGGUUCGGGACAUUUCUCUGGAAAACCACUAGUGAGGCUGAGUAGAAGCAGGAGCCCAGGAGGCAGAAACCAUUGGUGAUAUGGUCAAUUAAUGUUAAUAGCAAUAGUGAGAAGAGGAAGAAGAGAAGAAAGAAGAGAGGGUGAGGAAGAAGGAGGGAGAAUUCUGAGAAGGUCACUUUCUUCACAGAGCCUGUAAUUUUUGUGGCUCAUUUGUAGGAAAGUGAGCUUACACGCCGUGCUCAUGUAACUUUUUGGGACACGUUCUCAUUGUUUUCUUAAGUCCCUAAGCCAUAAGGAAAAUCAUGGAAAAAUGGAGGAUUUGAAUAUCUGAAAGCUGCUAGUCCAACUUGGCUGAGACUUUUUUUGGGUGCAAAAUUUAUAAAAUGCCUUGAAAGUAUUUUCCACGGCACAUUCAGUGACUUCACUCAGCCCUGCUUAAAUGGUCUAUUUUGGUUUUGAGUUCAUAAAGCCCCUCUCUCUCCCCCUCGUCUCCCUGCUCAGGUUGACGUCCAGAUAAAACAGCUAACUCAAAUAUGGUGUAAAAAUACAAGCCCCUUUUAGCCUGGCUUUUCAUGCUGCGCCCCAAAGUGUGCCUGGGUGUUGAAAGUGAAGAGGGGUGGGGCCGAGGGAGGGUGUUUUUCCAGCCCAAGUUAUGAGAGUGAGCACUUUCUCGAGCUUGUAGCGAGAGCCAUUGCACCCUUGCUGCAGUGGAAACCAUUCAGGAUGAUGCCCGCAUGCAGCGGUCGGUUGAGAGCUGGAAAACCUGCCAAAGUCAGCAGCUGGAGUAAGUAGAGUAAAUCAAGUUAAGAGGGAACAGGACAAGAUUUUGGAAAAGGAGAGAAUACAUGGGUCAAACCAUUAACCAGACCUGCAGGGUUAAGAUGAUGAGAUAUAAAUUGACUGGUAUUUCCUGGGUUUAGAAAAGGAAGUCUGGAUGCGAUUUAUAUCUGGUCCUCUGGCCCUCCAUGCUCUUGGGUUCCUCCCUUCCCAGCCUGUGUGCCCAGUGGGCCUCAGGUGUGGGGCAUUUAGAGUAGGAUGGGGUGUAAGCCAGAAAGUUCUGGGUUUUGCAGCUAUAAAUACAUUUAUCCAGCCCGUCAUCCUCAAUUAGUGCUGGAGUGCCCACAAUGCAGUGCUCUUCCUACAGGCUGAACCCAAUGCUGCACAGGGCCCCCAAACCUCUCCUUUCUGGUCUUUUCAAACCUUUUCUCUUCACAUCCUGACAGAUGGCUGUGAGACAGGGCCCUGCCCCUGUUGGAACCAUGAUAGUCAGAAAUGAUGGCCAUGGGCGUCUUGGUGAAAAGGAGACUGUGCCUCUAGGCAAGUCCUGACGUUGGUUUGGUCGUGGGGGUUCCUCCUGCCCUUACCUGGCUUUGCUGAGUCAUGUUGACGCAACAGCUGUGCUCUGGUCUGUGUGGUCCUCAAGGGUGACAAAGCACUUCUGUAUCAAUAUAUGCAUUUUUCUUUCUUUAUUUGUGUUUUUUUUUUUUUUUUUACUUAACCUUCUAAUCGUCUUGUGAGAGAGAUAGUAGUGCUUAUUUGAGGAAAUUGAGUUUCAGAGGGCUUAAGUGGCUCACCCAUGGCUGCACAAGCCAUGCACAGCAGAGACAGGACUAUGAGGUUGAUACAAUUAUCUCCAUUUUGUAGCUAGAGAAACCGAGGCUCAGAGAGGCUAACAAAGUAACACAAGGACAAACAGCGAGUGAGGGUUGGAGCUACUUAAAUACAAGAUUGUUCACUCCACAGCAUCACUGAAAUCCACAUGCUCUUAAGUCCUGUCCUCCCCACUGCUGUCCCUGUAAAGACCCCUAGAAAAUGCCUAGUGGGUCCUCAGGAAUUGGGGAAGAUGGCUGAUGCCUCCCCCCGACCCCAAAACACAUAGAAUUGCUCUAGGCUUUCCUUCUCAUGGUCAUUCUAUCCAUUUAUUCAUCCAUCCAUCCACUCAGUCACCAAGUGCUCAUUGUGUCAAGACCUGAGCUGGGUGCUGGAGACACGCUUGUGAAUAAGUUCCAAGCCUGGGAGUCAUCCUUGAUCCCUGCUUUUCCUUAGUCUCACUAUUUCCAUUGCUGAUUCUGUCAACUCCACCUGCAGCCUGGAAGGAAUUCCUUUCUCUCCUUUCUAUGGCUACGUCCUAUCCCAAGACCUCAACAUCUCAGCGAUAGCCACAUAACUGGUCUUUUCCUGUGUCCACUAGUCUAUUCCCCACACAGUAGCCAGAGUGAGUUUUUCAAAAGCAAGAUCGCUUCACUCCCCUGUUUUAGAACUCUCAAUGGAUUUUCAUCACACUUAGAAAAAAGACAAACUCCUUACAUGAUGGGUAAGACCUUUCAUGAUCUGGCUAUGUGUAUCUGACCUUAUCUCCUUCCUUUGCCACUCAUCCUCUCCCCCCCAGCUCCAGACAAACUAGCUUUACGUCUGUUGUUCUCACACCCCAAGGGCUUUCCUGCUCCAGAACUUCACUCGCAACUAUCCUCAGCCCCCCAGAAGGCAAUGUCCUGGGACUGGCUUUUUCCUAUCAUUCUUCUCUCAGCUCUAGUAUAGACUCCUUCAAGAAGUGUCUCUUGGCAUACUAUGUAAAGAAGACACCUCAUCUUUCUCCAUCUCAUUCCUCUAUUUUAAUUUUCUGGUAUUACUUAUCCCUCUCUAGUAUUAUGUGUAAUUUAUUUAUUUUCUUUCUUUGUCCAUUAGAAUGCAAUCCCGUGAAGCCAGGAGCAGAGUCUCUCGUCUUCACUGCUGUGGUCUCAACACUUAAAACAGUGCUUGCAUGAGAAACAGAAGAGGAGAAGACACAGACACACAGGAAAAGGCCAAGUGAAGACUCAUGGGAAGAUGGAGGCCACUAUUAGAAUUAUGCUUCCACAAGCCAAGGAACACCUGGAGUCACCAGAAGAGACAAGGAAGGAUUCUCCCUAAGAGCGUCCAGAAGGAACAAAUCCUGCCAACAUGUUGAUUUGAGACUUCUGACCCCCAGAACUGUAAGUGUUGUUUGCACCCACCAAGUUGCGGUAAUUUGUUAUGGCUGCCACAGGAACUUCAUACACCUGUGUUCAUUAUUAUCGACAUUGCUCCUUGGGAAACCUAUUUCACUCCUUCGUUUUGUACUUACUAUAGUCAAGGCCUUGGAAAUAUGAACACCAACAGGGCAAGUCAGUGCUUUUGAGGAGUUUGUAAUCUGGGUGUGGGGAGAGAGGGAGAUGGGUCUCUACCAGCCCUGAUAAACAACACCAGACACAUGCAGAUCCCCAGGUUAGCCUGUGCUCAACCCUCUGUGCUUUGCUGAUGGCAGGGCUUCUCAGCCCUAACGCUAUUGACCUUUGAGAGAGAUAAAUGUUUGUUGUUAGGUUUCCCUGUACAUUGUAAGAUGAUUAGCAGCAUCCCUGGCCUCUACCCACUGGAUGCGGUAACAAGUCCACCCCUUCCUCCAUUAUGACAAUCGAAACUGUGUCCAGACAUUGCCAAAUAUAUAUCCCCUGAGGGAGCAAAAUUGCCCCUGGUUGAGAACCACUGCUGUAUGGCCUUUCUCUUUCUGGAACACUGUUGCCCUUGACUUUCUGACAAGUUCUCGAAGUCUUUCUUGAUUCUCAAAUCUGGGUGCGCCUCUUUCAUUCCUAUGACACUAUGCACAAACCCUAGUUAAAACAGUUGUCUUAGCUUUCUGCACUUUUCUGUCUGAACCUCUGCUUUCCAGCAAAAUCUGAAGUUUUGUAAGAAAAGGUGUGUGUCUUUGCAUCUCUGUUUUCCCUCACACCUAAUGUUUGUUGAGAUAAGAAGGAAAGACCUACUGUGGUCACACUGUGGGGCCCCAGAGGAGACAGAUGUGCAAGGCCCAGCAAAGGAACAGUUUAUUACUAGAAAGAGCUUUGUCCCCACACCUCAGGGUAGCCUCAUGGGAGGCUGACUGGGCCUUGUGUGGACCACAAAGCCGUCUUUUGUGUCCCUGGCCUAAAGCCAGCAAUUUGAGCAGUGUGGGCAGCUUUUGAGAUCCCUUUUCUCUGGGCCAGCACUCCCCAAGCUUGUUUUGUGGCUCAGCAGCCCCUUGAGAUGGUUCUGGAAGAAAGAGUCUCAAGGUAAUUGAUAUUUAGAAAACCCUGCCUCCUACAUGUCCCUCUUAGAAAUUCGCAAUGCGCAUUCGUAAAGAUGAAAGAUUGAGAUGAGAAAUUUGUUUCACGUUAUUUAGAUCAUUGUUUUCUGAACUUACAGGACCAUGGAACCUAAAACAUCUAAGAAAUUUGUAAUGUCAUAACAUAUAUUUUGGGAAUUAUUAACUCAA